GACGAGGGGUCCUAGCGUUGUUCGGAAUCAUUGGGCGUAAAGCGUAUGUAGGCUGCCAUUCAAGUCAGUUGUGAAAGCCCCCGGCUCAACCGGGGAGAGUCGUCGGGGACGGGUGAGCUUGAGGGUAUCAGGGGCUGGUGGAAUUCCCGGUGUAGUGGUGAAAUGCGUAGAUAUCGGGAGGAACACCCGUGGCGAAGGCGGCCAGCUGGGAUACACCUGACGCUGAGACACGAAGGCGUGGGGAGCGAACGGG
rnacentral:rRNA from 1 species